rnacentral:rRNA from 1 species
AAAAGAUCUUUUCAUUGGAUGUCCUGGGACAAACUGACCGUGCCAAAGGCCAAGGGGGGUAUGGGUUUCCGGGACCCUUAAGUGUUCAACCUCGCUAUGCUAGGUAAACAGGGUUGGCAGCUGCUGACAAACCCAGACUCCUUGUGUGCUCGGGUGUUGAAAGGAAGAUACUUUCUGCAGACAGAUUUCCUACACGCUACGGCGCCGGUCUGGGCUUCCACUACAUGGAAGGCGACCGUGGCUGGUCGGAAGGCGUUGGAAGAAGGCUUGAUUCAUAAGGUCGGCGAUGACACCACAAUCUCAAUUUGGACAGACCCGUGGAUACCAAAUACCACAACACUCAAGCCUAGCGGCCACAUUGGAGAUGCUCCACUCACAAAAGUUUCAGAAUUGAUUGAUGAUUACAAAGGAAGGUGGAAUGUGGAUUUAAUUCGCCAAAACCUUUACUCCCCCCGACGCGGCAUCAAUACUGAAUAUCCCUCUCAGGGUGGCGGGUGGAGAGGACACUUUGGCAUGGGCUUUGGAAAGGUCAAGACACUAUACUGUCAAGUCGGCGUAUCGAUCUCUUAUGAGUCGUAA